rnacentral:rRNA from 1 species
CGCGGCCUAUCAGCUUGUUGGUGAGGUAAAGGCUCACCAAGGCGAUGAUACAUAGCCGACCUGAGAGGGUGAUCGGCCACAUUGGGACUGAGACACGGCCCAAACUCCUACGGGAGGCAGCAGUAGGGAAUCUUCGGCAAUGGACGAAAGUCUGACCGAGCAACGCCGCGUGAGUGAAGAAGGUUUUCGGAUCGUAAAACUCUGUUGGUAGAGAAGAACGUUGGUGAGAGUGGAAAGCUCAUCAAGUGACGGUAACUACCCAGAAAGGGACGGCUAACUACGUGCCAGCAGCCGCGGUAAUACGUAGGUCCCGAGCGUUGUCCGGAUUUAUUGGGCGUAAAGCGAGCGCAGGUGGUUUAUUAAGUCUGGUGUAAAAGGCAGUGGCUCAACCAUUGUAUGCAUUGGAAACUGGUAGACUUGAGUGCAGGAGAGGAGAGUGGAAUUCCAUGUGUAGCGGUGAAAUGCGUAGAUAUAUGGAGGAACACCGGUGGCGAAAGCGGCUCUCUGGCCUGUAACUGACACUGAGGCUCGAAAGCGUGGGGAGCAAACAGGAUUAGAUACCCUGGUAGUCCACGCCGUAAACGAUGAGUGCUAGUUGUUUGGGGCUAUCCAGCCCUAAGUGACGCAGCACACGCAUUAAGCACCCCGCC